GGGAAAUAACUCUCAUAUGGAGUGUUUAUAUCGCUUCGUUCAAAUACAACAAAUCAUGGGGAAAAUAUAACAAGCAAUUUUAUGAAAUAAAUUUGUCGUAAUCUUUUACGGUUGUGAAGCAGUAGUGGACACAAGGAAAACAGUGUUUGGGGAGAUAACUCCUACAGAGAAAAGUAUUCGGUUAGGCAGGGUAAAUUUCAAAGGCGCAUAAACUGUUCGAUAUCAUAUACCAAAUAUCUAAGCGAC
rnacentral:lncRNA from 1 species